UACGUAGGGGGCAAGCGUUGUCCGGAUUUAUUGGGCGUAAAGAGCGUGUAGGCGGCCAUUCAGGUCAGCUGUGAAAACUCGAGGCUCAACCUCGAGACGUCGGUUGAAAACCGUUUGGCUAGGGGUCCGGAAGAGGAGAGUGGAAUUCCCGGUGUAGCGGUGAAAUGCGCAGAUAUCGGGGAAGAACACCCGUGGCGAAGGCGGCUCUCUGGGACGGUACUGACGCUGAGACGCGAAAGCAUGGGUAGCGAACAGGA
rnacentral:rRNA from 1 species